UACGUAGGGUGCGAGCGUUAAUCGGAAUUACUGGGCGUAAAGCGUGCGCAGGCGGCUAUGCAAGACAGGUGUGAAAUCCCCGGGCUCAACCUGGGAACUGCAUUUGUGACUGCAUGGCUAGAGUACGGUAGAGGGGGAUGGAAUUCCGCGUGUAGCAGUGAAAUGCGUAGAUAUGCGGAGGAACACCGAUGGCGAAGGCAAUCCCCUGGACCUGUACUGACGCUCAUGCACGAAAGCGUGGGGAGCAAACAGG
rnacentral:rRNA from 1 species